CGAAGGUAAAGCGGAGGUGACGGAAGACGCGGUAUAAAUCGGGGGUGGGAAACUUCCACCGGACGCCACGCCACACAAGUCUCUCCUCCUCCCAUCUCCGCUUCCCUUCUUCUUCUUCUUCGUUGAUCCACUCACCCGCCGCGCGCAGAGGAGGCCAUGGCGGAUCAGCUCACCGACGACCAGAUCGCCGAGUUCAAGGAGGCCUUCAGCCUCUUCGACAAGGACGGCGAUGGUUGCAUCACAACCAAGGAGUUGGGAACUGUCAUGCGUUCACUAGGGCAGAACCCAACGGAAGCUGAGCUCCAGGACAUGAUCAACGAGGUUGAUGCUGAUGGCAAUGGAACCAUUGAUUUUCCUGAGUUUCUCAAUCUGAUGGCUCGCAAGAUGAAGGACACUGAUUCAGAGGAAGAACUCAAGGAGGCCUUCCGGGUGUUUGACAAGGACCAAAAUGGCUUCAUCUCCGCUGCUGAGCUCCGCCAUGUGAUGACAAAUCUUGGCGAGAAGCUAACUGACGAGGAGGUGGAUGAGAUGAUCCGUGAGGCUGAUGUUGAUGGUGAUGGUCAGAUAAACUAUGAGGAGUUUGUGAAGGUCAUGAUGGCCAAGUGAGCCAUGGAACCAUACUCUAAGGCAGAGGAGAUUGUGUGUUGCCUUUUUCUGAAUGUAUUCUGUGCUUGUAAGAGUCAUACACGAUUGCGCAUGGAGCUGGACAAGAAAUUUAAGGUGCUUUGCCUGCACGGCUUCCGGACAAGUGGGAGUUUUCUGAAGAAGCAAAUCAGCAAAUGGAAUCCUUCCAUCUUCCAACAAUUUGACAUGGUCUUCCCUGAUGGCAUAUUCCCAGCUGGAGGGAAAUCAGAGAUAGAAGGCAUAUUUCCCCCACCCUACUUUGAGUGGUUUCAGUUCAACAAGGACUUCACUGAAUACACAAAUCUGGAUGAGUGCAUUUCAUACCUGUGUGAUUACAUGGUGAAAAAUGGACCUUUUGAUGGCCUGCUUGGAUUCUCCCAGGGUGCAACUCUUUCUGCUCUUUUGAUAGGUUACCAAGCACAGGGCAAAGUACUGAAUGAUCAUCCACCAAUCAAGUUCAUGGUCUCAAUAGCUGGGAGCAAGUUCAGGGACCCAAGCAUAUGCAAUGUAGCCUAUAAGGAUCCGAUCAAGGUGAAAUCAGUGCAUUUCAUUGGAGAGAAGGAUUGGCUCAAAGUGCCUUCCGAGGAGCUGGCCGCUGCCUUUGAGGACCCUGUCAUCAUAAGACAUCCCCAGGGCCACACUGUCCCUAGGCUUGAUGAGGCAAGUGUGAAGCAGCUUUCUGAGUGGAGCUCAAGCAUCCUGGAAGACAUCAAGAAUGCAGAUGAUGUUGCCAAGGCUUCAAUUGUGGAGAAGCCAUCUGAGGGUAAUACCGUGGCAGAGUCCGGUGAAAACCUGGUGGAGCAAAUUGCAGCUUGAGUAUGGUAACUGACAGUCUUGACACUGUCUGGAGGCUGGAGCUGAUUGCUGCUUCAAAUUAAACCGGAUUAGUCCGUCAUGAAACUCGAUCUAUCCAAAUGUUUAAGUCUUUAAGAGCUUUCUUUUUUAGCGAAGAUGUUUAAAAACUUUGUUACCACAAAUAUAUUUGCCUGGGUACUGCUUGUAUUCUCUGGGGGAACUAAUUGAAUCGACUCAUAACCGGACCAAAUGGAUUCAGGGAUUCAUCACUGUAGCUCCAGCUACUUGAGAGAGUAAUUGGUGUAAAAUGUCCACAAAACAUUCUGAGGUUCAAACUGAGAUGAUUUUCAA